rnacentral:lncRNA from 1 species
UUAUGGGGAUGCCUGGGCAAAGGGUUAGUAUCACACAAACAUUAUACUGUACAAAUUACACAUACAUUAUUAUACCUUAUUGAACCCUUCUUUGCUGCUUGUUGAAUAUCCUUGUGUGUUCUUUCAGGGUGUCCCUGGUCGGGAUGGAGAGCAAGGACUAAGGGUAUGUUUGAGUGGCAUAACAAUGCCAAGAUCUCCAUAUUAUUGCAGUCAGUAUUAUGUGUUGGUCUUUGUGGGCUAAUAGAGAUGUUACAGUUGUAUCUUUUGUGCUCUUGAUGGUGCUGGACACCUUUCUCAUAAACUCUCUCCCGCGGUCUUUUCCUUUAGGGGGACCUUGGAGAACCAGGAUUUAGGGGCAGAGAUGGCCAAAAGGGUGCCAUCGGAGAACUUGGGGAGUUGAUCUAUUAUGAAGGUCCCUCAGAAGGGCCUAACAGAGUUGGUCCCCCUGGACAGCUGGGACCCCAGGGAGAGAUGGGUUUGCAGGGGGAGAAAGGUCUGCCGGGCCGGGCUGGACCUCCUGCUAGGAAGAGUGAUAGUCAAAUACAAGGUCAGUACCAAACCCUUACUUAUCUAGUCAGUGGCCAGUAGUGUUAGAAGGUUUUUUACACUAGUUACAGUGAUGUAGAUCUAUUGUACUUAAUAUGGUAUAAUAACAAUUAUUAUAAUUGUAUUGUUAACAAGUUGUGCACUGUUUUAUCUCCCU